UGAGGAAUAUUGGUCAAUGGGCGAGAGCCUGAACCAGCCAAGUAGCGUGAAGGACGACGGCCCUAUGGUCGUUAAAUACUUUCUUUUAUAAGGGAAUAAAAUGCGCCACGUGUGGUGUUUUGUAUGUACCUUAUGAAUAAGCAUCGGCUAAUUCCGUGCCAGCAGCCGCGGUAAUACGGAAGAUGCGAGCGUUAUCCGGAUUUAUUGGGUUUAAAGGAGCGUAGGCGGGCUGUUAAGUCAGCGGUCAAAUCGUGCGGCUCAACCGUACCUUGCCGUUGAAACUGGUGGUCUUGAGUUCGGACAGGGCAGAUGGAAUUCGUGGUGUAGCGGUGAAAUGCUUAGAUAUCACGAAGAACUCCGACAGCGAAGGCAUUCUGCCGGGCGAAACUAGACGCUGAGGCUCGAAAAGUGCGGGUAUCAAACAGGAUUAGAUACC
rnacentral:rRNA from 1 species